CAAGUUUUCUUCUCUUAUCUCUCUUUCUCUCUCAAAUUCAAGAUUAAUAAUCAACCAGAAAGAAAUGGUAGUCUUCCUUUUCAAGCUGAUUUUCUUUGCUGUAAACACAAUCUCAAAUCUCGUUUCACGCUUAAUCUUCACUGUUACAGCUUACCUUCUAGUGUUGAUCAUCCAAGCUUUCAAGGUACCUGGUGAAGCUGCCCAUGGUGCACUUCAACAGAUUGCAGAGGCUGUCAAGGCAUGUUUUGAUUACAUGUUGGAGCUAAUAAUAGAGGCAAUAAGUAGUUUAAUAUCUAGUGGUUUUGAUCUUCUUACAGAAGCAGUUACGGGUUCUGCUGCUGUUACAGGGUCGGCUAUUGGAGUUGUAGUUGAGAAGACAAGAUCAUCUCUUGACGGGUUGUUGAAAGAUUUACCUGAGCUUGCUGAUAGUUUCUCAGAGAUGGUUUCAACCCUGGUCACAGAUUUGUGGAAUAACUACAAGGAAGCUGUGGGAUAUGUCACUGAAAAUGCUUAAUUGAUUAUGUAGUACUUUUACCUUUUUUUUUUUUUCCUUUCCUUUUGGGUGGUG
rnacentral:misc_RNA from 1 species